AUACGGAGGGUGCGAGCGUUGUUCGGAAUUACUGGGCGUAAAGGGCGCGUAGGCGGCUUUACAAGUCAGGUGUGAAAGUCCACGGCUCAACCGUGGAAGUGCAUUUGAAACUGUAAGGCUCGAGUACUGGAGGGGAGUGUGGAAUUCCUGGUGUAGAGGUGAAAUUCGUAGAGAUCAGGAGGAAUACCGGUGGCGAAGGCGACACUCUGGACAGAUACUGACGCUGAGGCGCGAAAGCGUGGGGAGCAAACAGGAUUAGAAACCCCGGUAGUCC
rnacentral:rRNA from 1 species